ACACUAAAUUUAUUUCUAUAUUCGAUAUAAACUUGUUUAUUAGGUUUUUAGUUUGUGAUGUUUCAUGUGAUGAUCAUUUUCAUGUUCAUCGUCUUUGAAUUGACAUGAGGAUAUCUAUGGAAAAGUAACUAAUCUGAAAGUAAGCCAACAUAUCGUUUGUCCUUUGUGUGCUAAAGAAAAGAUUUUCUUUUCGCAUCAUGAGGAAGUAUUACAUCAAUUAAAAAAUGUUAGGAAGUUGAUUACUUGUCAUGGAAAAGUAUACCAAUGGAAAUUAUUUGUUAAAGAAGUAUAAUUCUAAGGGUUUUAAGAAUAAAUUGGUUGAACCCAAAAUCUGGAGGAAGUACCUAUAUCCAUACACAGAAUAUGCCCAUUAAAAAUACUAGUCCAAAUUUGCUUUAAUGGUAGACAAUUAUUCAAUACAAAUUAACUUUUUAAGUGACUGAAAUAUUAAAUAGUUUAGAAUAUGGUAUAACAAUGUAAAAAAAUAUUAUUUUCAGGAACGAUUAGGGCCCGAUAUAUUUGAAACUCAUGUUGGACAUAGUAUUGAGUUGGGUAGAAUAUUAUUCUACGUUAAGUGAGGGUAUCAGAUACCUAUUAUUGUACUGUAUUUUAAUAUAUACAUUAGAAUUGUUGGUUUUUU